GACGAACGCUGGCGGCGUGCUUAACACAUGCAAGUCGAACGGAAAGGCCCUGCUUUUGUGGGGUGCUCGAGUGGCGAACGGGUGAGUAACACGUGAGUAACCUGCCCUUGACUUUGGGAUAACUUCAGGAAACUGGGGCUAAUACCGGAUAGGAGCUCCUGCUGCAUGGUGGGGGUUGGAAAGUUUCGGCGGGUGGGGAUGGACGGGGGGUUAAUCAGCUGGUUGGUGGGGGAGUGGCUAACCAAGGCAUUGACGGGUAGCCGGCCUGAGAGGGUGACCGGCCACAUUGGGACUGAGAUACGGCCCAGACUCCUACGGGAGGCAGCAGUGGGGAAUAUUGCACAAUGGGCGGAAGCCUGAUGCAGCAACGCCGCGUGCGGGAUGACGGCCUUCGGGUUGUAAACCGCUUUCGCCUGUGACGAAGCGUGAGUGACGGUAAUGGGUAAAGAAGCACCGGCUAACUACGUG
rnacentral:rRNA from 1 species